UACAGAGGGGGCAAGCGUUAUUCGGAAUUAUUGGGCGUAAAGGGCGCGUAGGCGGCUUGGCAAGUGGAUGGUGAAAUCCCUCGGCUCAACUGGGGAGGGUCACUCGAUACUGAUCGACUCGAAGGCAGAAGAGGGAAGCGGAAUUCCCGGUGUAGUGGUGAAAUGCGUAGAUAUCGGGAGGAACACCAGUGGCGAAGGCGGCUUUCUGGUCUGCUCUUGACGCUGAGGCGCGAAAGCUAGGGUAGCAAACGGG
rnacentral:rRNA from 1 species